UACGGGGGGGAGCAAGCGUUGUUCGGAUUUACUGGGCGUAAAGGGCGCGUAGGCGGCGUGACAAGUCACUUGUGAAAUCUCCGGGCUUAACUCGGAACGGUCAAGUGAUACUGUCGUGCUAGAGUACAGAAGGGGCAACUGGAAUUCUCGGUGUAGCGGUGAAAUGCGUAGAGAUCGGAAAGAACACCAACGGCGAAAGCACUCUGCUGGGCCGACACUGACACUGAGAGACGAAAAGCUAGGGGGAGCGAAUGGG
rnacentral:rRNA from 1 species